UUGGGUUUGGUUCGCUUUGUCUUGUUGUCAGUCACGCUUGGUUUUUUUUUUUUUUUUCGAGAACUUUCAUUAAUCUUGUGGUUAUUCCACAUCUUUUCUGCUUCCCUGGAUUUGGGUCCACUACCUCUUAUGACCAAUGCAACAAAAAGCUCGAGGCCGUGGUGCUCGACAUCCGACUGGUCCCUGAAGCGGCAGGCCGCGUGUCGCCAUGACGCCGCCCCUGCCGGAAUGUGAAAGAGAGAGGACAGUUUUCGCCUGGGUGGCACACGUCACACGCCAGUGAGCUAGCGCAGGUUUUCGCCGUGCCCUUCACCCGAGUAUCAAAGGGACGCAAUCAGGUCGCAUGCCUGAGUCCUGGCGUCAUUCCGCAGCGCCGGAGAGCCUUCGGCUGUGAUGAGAAGCUGACCCGCCUCCAAAUUAUCGACCGAAAUAUGUCAUUUGCCAAUUGAAACACGCUUUACGUCCAGCCUUCAAAAAAGAUUUCAAACAGGGGGGG